AGAGGAGGAACCAUUAUGCGAAGCAUAAUUCUGGAUGGUUCCGACGACUGGCCGCCGACGAUAGGAGGGGGCAAUACAUAU
rnacentral:sRNA from 1 species